rnacentral:piRNA from 1 species
UGUGGUAGUCUCUUUUAAUCAGGGAA